AUUGUUAGCCCAGAAAUGGAAGCAAGAAGAAAUUCCGACGAAAGAAGAAUGGCAGACGAAAUUAAUGGACUAUGCAGAAUUGGACAAAAUGACAGGAAGGAUUCAAAACCUGCAAGACCAGAGAUUUACAGAAGAUUGGAAGAAGUAUAUGAACUAUCUGAAGAGCAAUUGUAACCAACAAAUUCCGCUAGUAGGACUACAAGAAGUUUUAUUAGGAGAAAUAUAUGAAGUGUUACAAAGUAGAUAAAGAUAGAGAUAUUGGUUAUGAUUUUAAAUGUAAAAGGGAAAGUAAGAAAUGCAUACUAAGAGAUUAGAUUGAAGAAUUUUCAGACAGGACUGAUGGAAGUAAAAAAAUUGAAUAAGAUGUAAAAGUAUGUUUAAUUACUGUUGAAAAUGGUAUGUUAAAAAACUCAUAAAAAUGUAU